rnacentral:RNase_P_RNA from 1 species
AGAGCCGACCAAACGAUCGCGGAACGGCAUCCGCCGUUUCGAGGAAAGUCCGAACACCACAGGGCAGGGUGCUCCAUAACGUGGAGUCGCGGCAACGCGAAGGCAAGUGCAACAGAAAGCAAACCGCCCCGCCAAGGGCGGGGUAAGGGUGAAACGGUGCGGUAAGAGCGCACCAGUUUCCCGGGUGACCGGGAAAGCUAGGUAAACCCCACCCGGUGCAAGACCAAAUAGGGGAGUGCUUGAGGGCUGCCCGCCCGAGCUCCCGGGUAGGUCGCUGGAGGUGCCGGGCAACCGGCAUCCAUAGAUGAAUGAUCGUUGCCCGGCCCGGGGUAACCCGCGGUUGGGAACAGAAUUCGGCUUACGGACGGCUCUGGCC